GACGGAGGGGGCAAGCGUUGUCCGGACUCACUGGGCGUAAAGGGUGCGCAGGCGGUCCUGUGCGUCGGCGCUGAAAGCGCCCGGCUUAACCGGGCGAGGCGCGGCGAUACGACCGGACUGGAGGCUCGGAGAGGGUGGUGGAACUCCUGGUGUAGUGGUGAAAUGCGUAGAGAUCAGGAAGAACACCCGUGGCGCAAGCGACCACCUGGCCGAGACCUGACGCUGAGGCACGAGAGCGUGGGGAGCGAACAGG
rnacentral:rRNA from 1 species